UACGUAGGGUGCGAGCGUUGUCCGGAAUUAUUGGGCGUAAAGAGCUUGUAGGCGGUUUGUCGCGUCUGCUGUGAAAAUCCGGGGCUCAACCCCGGACUUGCAGUGGGUACGGGCAGACUAGAGUGUGGUAGGGGAGACUGGAAUUCCUGGUGUAGCGGUGAAAUGCGCAGAUAUCAGGAGGAACACCGGUGGCGAAGGCGGGUCUCUGGGCAAUAACUGACGCUGAGGAGCGAAAGCGUGGGGAGCGAACAGG
rnacentral:rRNA from 1 species